CUGCGGAUGUUGGGUUUGGGGAGAAAAGGGACUGGCAGGCUGGCGGUGUCCCGGGGGAGCACUCUGUAACGGUCGAACGGCUUGUAUCUUUUUCAACCUUUUCCAUUUCUUCACCAUUCCUUCCCCUUUAUUUUAAGCUUUAUCACGUCCUCCAGAUAGGGUCCUUGUUCGGGGGCGCUGAAAACACACAAGCAAGGCUUUAGCUAGAUAAUAAGGCCCAUUAAUUCUUAGGAUUUGAUACUGGUCUUUUUACCCUUCGUUAAUAUAUGCUUAUUUUCCACCACUACUACCUCGGAGAAAGGAAAGAGGGGAGGAUGGUAGGACUUCUGGUGAGGUUAAUUUUUAAAAACGUUGCAGCAGCCUGAGAUAAUUUUCUAAUGUGUGCUAAAAGGUUUGAUUUAUCUUACUUUACCUGACUUUGCAGCCCCAAACCCUACAACGAAUUUGGUUUUCUGUUUUCUGACAACCUUUGACUCUCAUUUCAGUGAACGUUCAUUUUGCGUGUGCUGGCUGAGCGUUUCUUGUAUCAAGGUAGCACGUUUUUCACUCGUUUCUUUGAGCAGUUGAUAGGUGUUGGUUCAUUAAGUAGCUCUGAAAAUUCAGCUGUAUGUUGUUUCAACUAGAAAAAAAGUCUAUGCAAGGCCUUUAAUGAGAUCCAGUACUUAUUGUUCUGUGUUUCUGGUUUGUGAAUGAUGGGAUAUUGAGAACACUCUUUUUGUUAGUUAAUGACCUUGAACAAAACCAUUACCACAAAUAUGUAUCUCAAAGAUAGGUAACUUUG
rnacentral:lncRNA from 1 species